rnacentral:rRNA from 1 species
ACGAACGCUGGCGGCGUGCUUAACACAUGCAAGUCGAACGGAAAGGCCCCUUUGGGGGUACUCGAGUGGCGAACGGGUGAGUAACACGUGAGUAACCUGCCCUUGACUUCGGGAUAACUUCAGGAAACUGGGGCUAAUACCGGAUAGGAAUCCUUGCUGCAUGGUGGGGGUUGGAAAGCUUCGGCGGUUUUGGAUGGACUCGCGGCUUAUCAGCUUGUUGGUGGGGUAGUGGCUUACCAAGGCGUUGACGGGUAGCCGGCCUGAGAGGGCGACCGGCGACACAGAGACUGAGAGGCGGCAGAGACAGGUACGGGAGGGAGAAGGGGGGAAGCUUGCAGAAUCAGCGCAGGGCUGAUGAAGAAGGGCUGCGUGCGGGAUGACGCUGUUAGGAUGGUAGACCGCUUGCAGAAGUGGCGAAGCUUGUGGUGACGGUACCUGAAGAAGAAGCACCGGCUAACUACGUG